rnacentral:rRNA from 1 species
UACGUAGGGCGCAAGCGUUAUCCGGAAUUAUUGGGCGUAAAGGGCGCGUAGGCGGCUUUUCAAGUGACGGGUGAAAUCCCUCGGCUUAACCGAGGAACUGCCUGUCAGACUGGAAGGCUUGAGACCGGGAGAGGUGAGUGGAAUUCCCAGUGUAGCGGUGAAAUGCGUAGAUAUUGGGAGGAACACCAGUGGCGAAGGCGGCUCACUGGACCGGAACUGACGCUGAGGCGCGAAAGCGUGGGGAGCAAACAGG